UUUGAAGUGUGACUUGUCAAAAUUUGUAGAAGCUUAUCCACUUCAAAACAACGAGUCGGAGACAAUAGUGAGGACUCUUGUUUAAAUUUUAUUAAAAUUUUACCAAACGUUUAAUUUCAAAAGUUUCGUGUGAUUUAAGUCUAGAUAUUAUCCAAAGACUUUUAGCAGUAACGUCAUCCACGAAGCUGAUGCUCAAAAGCCAUACAGAUUAGAUGGAUACAGAUUAGAUGCAGGGAGAAUCCAUAAGAACUACUUACAGGCUGCACCAGGUCAUUAAUAGCAUCUCGGCAAACAAAGCCUGGAUGGAAUCAACUGAACAUUUGGUAUGCAAUCAGACCUAAUGCCAAGAAAAAUACGAAGUACAAUUCAUACUCGGUCAACAUACCAGUCCGAGUGGACUGUGAUCAGAACCCUAUGGAACAAAAGAAAGCGGACAUCCGAGUAUAUCCAAACGGCUCCAAACCAAAACCAAUUUUGAAGUGGGAGCUGAAAUAUACUGCACUAACCCAAGAACAGAAGUAUCUAUCUGUCUUGGAAAACACUCAUCAAUUUAGUACAUCAAGUACAUGAUAUUGAAAUCUAUGUAAGAAUGCUGAAUCAAAUGAAACGUGAGAAUAGAACCAUCAAAAUCUACAGUGACAGUCAGGCGGCUCUAAAAUCGCUAGAAUUCGCUACCUGCACAUCUAGAGCAAUAUGGACCUGCAAAAACGAGUUCAUACUGCAUGGGGAAGGGAGCAAAAUUACCCCAACAUCGAUCUUGGGACAUGCUGGGCGUACGGUAAAUGAGGCGACUGACAAGCUAGCCAAAAAAGGUGCAAAAUUCAACCUGAUAGGUUCAAAACCAGCAUUAGAGAUUGCCUACAACACAGCAAAACACACAAUCAUAAACCUGGUGCACAAUAAAGCAAAGCGCUACUGGGAGGCAUUACCAGGACAGAACCAUGCGAAGGCUUUCAUACUGAACGCAACAAGGAAGCUAACAGAUACCAUAAGUGAAUUUAAAAGAAAGUAGGUACCUAAAAGCCCUAAUGGGAAUGUAUAUCAGCCACUGCAGACUGCGUCACCAAAUGAAUCGGAUGGAUUUGGCGGAAAUGGCCGAGUGCAGACUAUGCAUGGAGGAAGACGAGACUGCAUAGCACAUCUUAUGCAGAUAUCCAGCACUAGAGAGAAUCAGGCAGGCCAUCUUCGGCAUUCUCUUACCGAAGACGGAAGACAUUAGGAAUGCUUCUCCCAAUCAAAUUAUCGAACUCUUAAAGAGGGCGGACUUAAUUGGGGAAGUAUAAGCACCUAAAAGGAAGCCACAAUAGACCCUGGGGCGCAGUAAAGGAACACAAGGUACCCCAGGCACAACAAACCUAAAUGGAUGAAUAAAGUUACAGAAGAAUUUAUCAAUAAUUACCAUCCAUCGACAAAUCAUCCACCAUUAAUCAUGACAUAACUGAACGCUUUUCUUCCUCAAUAAACAAUUUUUACGAGCCCUCAAAAAGUCUUAUUAAAGAUCUACAUUACGAUUAAAAUUAUUGAUAAACCCAACAGAAAAUCCGAUGUGACUUGCUCUUAUCUGCAACCUUGCCACCUGCUUCAUGGCGUCUAUGGCUGGUCCAUAAAUCAAUAAAUCAAAUCGUGUGAUAAUAUUACACACGACAUAAAACUCUCAUUGCUUCAGCACUCAAUGGUUUUCAAAUAAAAAGGAAGUGGCACGUAACUAAAAAGGUUCUCUUUCUCGUUCUCGAUCCGGCGUCCAAAUUAAUAUGGUUCGUUCGCUGGUUUUAAUCUUUCAUACAACCUCAUUUAUUUUUAUGUAGUACCAAAAACGAUUCAAAGGAAAAAAGACUUGAACCUUCAUGAAAAACAACUCCUAAAAAAGUGUUAUUAACUUAUAAAUAAGUUUAGUUAUAUGUUAGCACAAAACUCCUAAAAUUAAUAUUCGGCUCUAAACGGUCGUAAAGCGCCUAUUCGUAAAUUGAAGUAAUGGCCUACGAAAAUGCCCGACAUCAAGAAAAUUCAUUAACACUAAUGAAGGCUUUAUUUACCCUUGUUAGGAACGAUAUGUCGCUUAUGGAUUAGUGCUUUGGGACAGGCAAUUCUUCAGGAUCCGGACUGCGAGUUUAUUUUUAAAUUUAUGCUGUUAUAAGAAAAUUCGUGACCUGGAUUCUACGGAGCCAUUUGUCGUCGUUCAGUUAUUAAAGGCCAGCCAUGAAUACAGCAAAUAAGGAGUCGGUUCAUAAAACCAUGAAAUCACGUUGGGAACGGAAUUACAGAGUUCAUAUUGUACAAUAGGGCUUUUUUAUAAAGGGUGCUUUGAAUAAAAAGAAUAUUUAG